CAUGAAUGACAAGUAAUUGAGCUUCACGACUGGAUUAGGCCUUCUACGUCUUCGAAUGCUGUGGAUGAUUUUCUGUCGAAUAAGAUUUUGCCAUCGAAAAUUAAUCGAAUCAAAAGGAUUUACCCAAACAAAGAUGUCACAAGGACAACUUGCAAUGGAGGAAGGAUAUGCUGAUAGUGCUGUUGACAUCCCUGACAAUCCCCUGCCAGUGCAUAUGACUUCCCUCCCUCCUCCACCUCUCCACC